rnacentral:ribozyme from 13 species
AAAUAACAACAAAAGGGGUUUGAGAGUAAGAUAAUGUAAACGUGGAAGUCGACUUAUCAAUCGCUUGGUUUCCUCUAAAACUUCCUCUCUUUUAAGCUCUAUUUUUUCCUCUCCUUUUUCUUCUUCUGGGCGCGUGAAAAGAUUCAAAAAAUCGUCAUAGAGAGUGUAAGUCAAGAGAGG